rnacentral:snoRNA from 1 species
CCCGCGCCCAAACCCAAGAGCCGCCGUUUGCGGUAACGGCGGCUCAAGCAGCGGCGCGGACAGCACGCGAGCCUCGUCGCCUUUGGGGGGCUGUGCCGUGCCCCCCGGAGUGAAUGUGGAGGUUCGACAGGC